UAGAGUUUGAUCAUGGCUCAGAAUGAACGCUGGCGGCGUGCCUAACACAUGCAAGUCGCACGAGAAAGGGGCCUUCGGGCUCCCGGUAAAGUGGCGAACGGGUGAGUAACGCGUAGGUAACCUGUCCUCGAAUGUGGAAUAACCUGGCGAAAGCCGGGCUAAUACCGCAUGAUGUCCGCGGGUCCUCGGAUCUGCGAACCAAAGGUGGCGAGCUUCGAGUGCUGCCGUUCGAGAAAGGGCCUGCGUCCCAUUAGCUAGUUGGUGGGGUAACGGCCUACCAAGGCUACGAUGGGUAGCCGGGCUGAGAGGCUGUCCGGCCACACUGGAACUGAGACACGGUCCAGACUCCUACGGGAGGCAGCAGUGGGGAAUCUUGCGCAAUGGGGGAAACCCUGACGCAGCGACGCCGCGUGGGCGAUGAAGGCCUUCGGGUCGUAAAGCCCUGUCGAGCGGGACGAAACGUACGAGCUCUAACAUAGCUCGUGCCUGACGGUACCGCUAAAGGAAGCCCCGGCUAACUCCGUGCCAGCAGCCGCGGUAAUACGGAGGGGGCUAGCGUUAUUCGGAAUUAUUGGGCGUAAAGGGCGUGUAGGCGGCUUCGUGUGUCCCAUGUGAAAGCCCUCGGCUCAACCGGGGAACUGCAUGGGAAACUGCGGAGCUUGAGUCCGGGAGAGGUGAGUGGAAUUCCCAGUGUAGCGGUGAAAUGCGUAGAUAUUGGGAGGAACACCGGUGGCGAAGGCGGCUCACUGGACCGGUACUGACGCUGAGACGCGAAAGCCAGGGGAGCAAACGGGAUUAGAUACCCCGGUAGUCCUGGCUGUAAACGAUGAGAACUUGGUGUGGCGGGUAUCGACCCCUGCCGUGCCGAAGCUAACGCAUUAAGUUCUCCGCCUGGGGAGUACGGCCGCAAGGCUGAAACUCAAAGGAAUUGACGGGGGCCCGCACAAGCGGUGGAGCAUGUGGUUCAAUUCGACGCAACGCGAAGAACCUUACCUGGGUUUGAACUGCAGGUGACAGCCCCUGAAAGGGGGUCUUCCUUCGGGACACCUGUAGAGGUGCUGCAUGGCUGUCGUCAGCUCGUGUCGUGAGAUGUUGGGUUAAGUCCCGCAACGAGCGCAACCCCUACUCUUAGUUGCCAGCGGUUCGGCCGGGAACUCUAAGGGGACUGCCGGUGAUAAACCGGAGGAAGGUGGGGAUGACGUCAAGUCCUCAUGGCCUUUAUGUCCAGGGCUACACACGUGCUACAAUGGGCGGUACAAAGGGCUGCGAAGGCGCGAGCCGGAGCCAAUCCCAAAAAGCCGGUCGUAGUCCGGAUCGGAGUCUGCAACUCGACUCCGUGAAGUCGGAAUCGCUAGUAAUCGCAGACCAGCAUUGCUGCGGUGAAUACGUUCCCGGGUCUUGUACGCACCGCCCGUCACACCAUGGGAGUUGAUUGCACCAGAAGCAGGUAGCCUGACCGCAAGGAGGGCGCCUACCACGGUGUGGUCAAUGACUGGGGUGAAGUCGUAACAAGGUAACCGUAA
rnacentral:rRNA from 1 species